rnacentral:misc_RNA from 1 species
AAGGGUGGCGCCAUAGGCGGUUGCUUCGGACGAGGAGAGAACAGUCGCGCGCCGGCCGCCGCCAGGACUAGAUUCGCGUGUUCGUUGUUCGGUAAGUCGCUUCCUGCUUCUCUUGUUUUCCCAGAGUUGUUCGUGUAGUUUCGAGAGCUUGCGAGGCGCCGCGGCGUCGCGUUCCUCGAUCGCCGUCCCUCUCCUCCCGCAAGCUCGAUUGUCCGUUUCGAAUAUAAGUAUCGAGGGGCUGAGAAAGCGGAAAUAUGCCUGUCGAACAGUUUCAGCUGUCCAAUCGUCGACGGUUAGCCGGAGGAUAAUAAUAUUUUCACCCGUUGAACAACCGAUGCGGGAUAAUUCUCGAGGGGACAACAACCGCCGACAACUGCGUUCCGAGAGAAGGAGCGAGUAGUGGAAGCGGAAGUGGUUUUAGGAAGGGCUGGCGAAGGGCUGGCGGAAGGCUGGCGGUCCGAGAUGAGCGAUGAAGGGGGGCCUGGGCUGCCUGCUAGCCUCCGUCUUCGUAGUUCACAUCGUCAACGUGAACGGACUGCCGCCGGUGGUGAAAAUCGGUGCCAUAUUCACUCAUGACCAAAAAGAUAGCAGCACCGAACUGGCGUUCAAGUACGCGGUGUACAAGAUCAACGAGGACCGGACCAUUCUGCCCCACACAACCCUCGCCUACGACAUCCAGUACGUGCCGAGAGAUGACUCGUUCCACGCUUCGAAAAAAGCCUGCGAACAGGUCAAGUUUGGAGUCCAGGCGGUCUUCGGUCCGUCGGAUCCGAUCCUGGGUCAACACAUUCACAGCAUCUGCGACGCUCUGGACAUACCGCACCUGGAGGCGAGGUUGGACCUGGAGGCCGAGGCGAAGGAGUUCAGCAUCAACCUUCACCCGGCGCAGACUCUUCUCAACACCGCCUAUCAGGACGUCAUGGGUUUCCUCAACUGGACCAAGGUGGCGAUCAUCUACGAGGACGAUUACGGUCUCGUUAAGCUCAGGGAGCUCGUUCGCAGUCCGAGGUCCCGGGACAUGGAGAUCCAUCUGAGGCAGGCGGGUCCCGAGUCAUAUCGUCAGGUCCUCACGGAGAUCAAGACGAAGGAGAUACGGAACCUGGUCGUCGACACGAAGCCCGAGCACAUGCACCACUUUCUGCGAACGAUACUGCAGCUUCAGAUGAACGACUACAAUUAUCACUAUCUGUUCGCAACGUUCGACAUCGAAACGUUCGACCUCGAGGACUUCAAGUACAACUUCGUCAACAUGACCGCGUUCCGACUUGUCGACGCUGACGACGUUGGGGUCAGGGGCGUACUCAGGGACAUGGAGAAAUUUCAACAGACCGGAAACACGAUACUCAACAAAUCUCGGGUCAUUCAGGCGGAACCAGCCCUGAUGUACGACAGCGUCCAGGUUUUCGCCGUGGGCCUCAGGACCCUGGAACAAUCGCACGCCCUUCGCCCAGCGAAUUUAUCUUGCGAGCUGGAACACCCAUGGGACGGUGGCCUCUCCCUUAUCAACUACAUAAACUCGGUUGAGCUGAAGGGAAUUUCUGGACCGAUAGAGUUCAAAGAGGGACGCCGCAUUCAGUUCAAACUCGAUUUACUCAAACUCAAGCAGCACUCGCUCGUCAAGGUGGGCGAAUGGCGACCAGGUUCCGGCAUCAACGUUACCGACAGGGCGGCUUUCUUCGAGCCAGGAAUCGCCAACGUCACCCUCGUCGUCAUAACAAUUUUGGAGACGCCCUACGUGAUGAUGCAUUACGAGAAAAAUUAUACGGGGAAUUCACGGUUUUACGGAUUUUGCGUCGACCUGCUCAAAGUGCUCGCCAAGGAGGUCGGAUUCUCGUAUCGAAUGGAGCUGGUUCCGGACCGGAAAUACGGGGCGAGGGACCCCGAGACAGGCGAGUGGAACGGCAUCGUCAAUGAACUCAUGCGACAUGAGCAGCCAUACGUGAUGCUCGGGGCGCAGGCAAACCUCACCGGAAAUUCGAGGUACGAGGGAUUCUGCAUCGAUCUUCUCAAGGAGAUCGCUAAGAUGGUCGGAUUCACUUACAGAAUCGAACUCGUCCCCGACGGCAAGUACGGCGUCUACAACUACGAGACCGGCGAAUGGAACGGCAUCGUUCGUCAGCUCAUGGACAAGAAAGCGGACUUGGCCGUCGGUUCGAUGACGAUAAACUACGCGAGAGAAAGCGUGAUCGACUUCACAAAGCCGUUUAUGAAUUUGGGGAUAUCAAUCUUGUUCAAGGUUCCAACCAGCCACCCGGCUCGACUUUUCUCCUUCAUGAAUCCCCUGGCGAUCGAGAUAUGGCUCUACGUCUUAGCGGCGUACGUUCUCGUCUCGGUGACGAUGUUCGUCGUCGCUCGCUUCAGCCCCUACGAAUGGAACAACCCUCAUCCCUGUCACGCGGGGCCAGACAUAGUCGAGAACCAAUUUUCGAUGUCGAACAGCUUCUGGUUCACGAUCGGCACCCUGAUGCAACAGGGGAGCGACCUCAAUCCGAAGGCAACCAGCACCAGGAUAGUCGGCGGUAUCUGGUGGUUCUUCACCCUGAUAAUAAUAUCGUCGUACACCGCAAAUUUGGCGGCGUUUCUGACCGUCGAGAGGAUGAUAACGCCGAUCGAGAACGCGGAGGACCUCGAAGGGCAGACGGACAUCGUAUACGGGACGCUGGAUAGCGGAAGUACGAUGACCUUCUUCAGGGACUCGAUGAUAGAGACUUACAAGAAGAUGUGGCGGUUCAUGGAGAACAAGAAACCCUCGGUUUUUGUGCCGACCUACGAAGAGGGGAUACGGCGCGUCCUUCAGGGCGACUACGCCUUCCUCAUGGAGUCCACGAUGCUCGACUACAUCGUACAGAGAGACUGCAAUCUCACGCAAAUCGGCGGGCUGCUGGACAGCAAGGGAUACGGCAUCGCAACGCCGAUGGGAUCGCCCUGGAGGGACAAAAUAUCGCUGGCAAUCCUUGAGCUGCAGGAGAAGGGAGAGAUCCAGAUGCUGUACGACAAAUGGUGGAAGAGUCCAGGCGACACGUGCAUGAGGACCGAGAAAGGGAAGGAGAGCAAAGCCAACGCCCUAGGCGUCGACAAUAUAGGCGGAGUAUUCGUCGUCCUUCUCUGCGGUCUCGCAUUCGCAGUUCUUGUUGCGAUAUUCGAGUUCUGCUACAACUCUAAAAGAAACGCACCACCGCCCGCCGAACGACAACGGCCAACGGGACCUCCGACCUGCUCCGGUUCCCUGCAAGGCAUUCCUCAGGCAACACAGCAACAGCAACAGCAACAGCAGAAUUCCAACCCCCAGGAAUCGCUGUGCUCCGAAAUGGCUCGUGAGCUCUGUCUGGCGAUUCGCUGCAAUUCUUCAAAGCGCAGAAGACGGGGAUGCGAAAAAUGCUCGUCAAACAGAGGAUCUGGUUACCUCCAAGAAAAUCAAACCCCCACACCGAUUAACGGGAUGAGGUCACAGGUGAUUUCGUAAAUGCGUAUAACGUCUUCCUUGGAAAUGCAUGCGAUUCGAAUAUGCCUGGAGAUGAAAUCAACCCUCUAGGAUAUUUGCAAUUACAUCAAUCGCCGGUUUUCAACGCGCAGCUUAACAUCCGCAGAUCGAACGUCGAAAGAGUUUGUAUCGAUGGAAGUUUGCUCGUUCCUGCAGUUGGUUUGUAGGAGUAGCUUGGGGGGCGCCAUCGACCUUCCACCCCACAUUCACAUGCAUCACGGACUUUCGCACGACUUCGACGUUGAUUACGAUUGAAGAUGGCAACAAGUCCGAAGUUCUUCGUCAUUCUUCGUUUUACUUUUGAAAAAUUUUCACCCGAAUUUUUCUCCUAGCGUGGUUGAAAAUUUCACGCUUUACGUAAACUUGAGCAAAACUAUGUCAUUUCAAUCGUUUAUUACUUAUUCAUUUUUC